GGACUACCGGGGUUUCUAAUCCUGUUCGAUCCCCACGCUUUCGUGCCUCAGUGUCAGUUUCGCCUUCGUGAGCUGUCUUCACUAUCGGUGUUCUGUGCCAUAUCUAAGCAUUUCACCGCUACACGGCACAUUCCGCCCACGUCAAGCGUACUCAAGAGCGACAGUAUCAAUGGCGAUUCUACAGUUAAGCUGCAGGAUUUCACCACUGACUUACCGCCCCACCUACGCACCCUUUAAACCCAAUGAAUCCGGAUAACGCUUGCACCCUUCGUAUUACCGCGGCUGCUGGCAC
rnacentral:rRNA from 1 species